GCACCGGACUGACUCUAUCAUUGAUUGGAACGUUUGCCUUCGCUGAUGGACGCCAUUCUCAUUGACUCCGCUUCCGGGCAGUUCCAUCCGGGCAUUCUCGUCUGCUCUAUCGCCGCCUGAGAACACCACGAACGAAAGAUGGAAAUAUUAUUAAACGAUGCAAGCAUCAGAUCUUUGGUACUUUGUACGACACGGCAAUUGUUAAAAAAUCGUGUCCAAAGUAUAGCUGAUACAGAUUCGCAAAUAAUAAUAUGCGAGCUUUGGAAAAUGCGUAUAGAAAAAUUUCACUGAGGAAAAAUUCCUACCGGGAGAUAUCCGCAGGCUAUGUGAAGCGUGGUAAGAUACGAAAUCAUAGGAGUAUCGAUACAGGUGCACGCGUGCUACACUUACCGAGCUAUUAAGAGUCUUGUUCGUGAAGAUCAUGAGGGGGCGGCUGCGGUUGCUAAACGGCCUUAACUCCGGAUCUCGGCCAGGACCAUCCACCGUGUCGACGCAAUUACUGUUGGCACAGAAAUAACGUCGAAUGUGAAAUUUGUGCAUUCAUCAAGCACCAUGCAAGAUUUAUGAAAUGAACGAGAAUUAGCUUUUUUAUAAUCCAUCUAAAUAUCAACCAUGUCUAAAUCAUCAAUCUACUUUAAUUAUCACUUUCAUCAUUCUAGGUGAGGGAAAGAUAAGAAAGGAAGGCUAUAAAUAAAUAGACGAAGACAAAUUCAUAAUGAUAAAAGAAGAAACUACAUACCUCGACCGUAAUUCCUUUUGCUUUCGCUUACAGUGGAUGUAAGCCGCUAUGCAAAUGAUAACGACCAGGAAUACUGCUAUCGUGGCACCACCGGCGAUGCUGGCUGUCUCCAACAUUACACGUUGCCGGGAAGCUGUAACAAAAACGUCACUUUCCUAGUCACCGGACACAGCUUCUUGUCCCUUAGGACUGCCUCUAACACGCGUUGCAGAUUGAACAAGGCAGUUCGUUGAAUUUACAUUGUACCCAGUGCAUUAUACUCGGCUCUUGCUAUGUAGCAUGACUCUAGAAUGGAAUAAAACUAUCUGGUCGCGGCGACCAGGAAUACAACAAGAGAAUCGAGAACGGCAGAUACUUACGUAAAUAGGAACCAUCUAAAUCCUUAAACUCGCAUCUCUGCCCGAUAUAACCGUUGGCGCAUCUGCAAGAAAAGAAAGCGAACCUGGUUAGGUACAGUGUUGUACAUCGGCCGGAUAAAAGAGUGGUAGAAUGCAUGUCGGUACUUUAUUGUUCGUACGCGGCACUUCCGUAAAACGCGGCAAGAAAUCCAGGAAGCUAUAAAACGUACUCUUUAGGCACGAACCGCUUUUAGUAUCGGGCAUUAAUCAGAUAGGUACGCGAUGGCUCGAACCACCCAAUUAGUACACUUAAUUAUUAACAGAAAAGCGCAAAA